rnacentral:rRNA from 1 species
GACGAACCGUGCGAACGUUGUUCGGAAUCACUGGGAUUAAAGGGCGCGUAGGCGGGUUCGCAAGUCAGGGGUGAGAUCUUUCGGCUUAACCGGAGAACAGCCCCUGAUACUGCGAGUCUUGAGGGAGGUAGGGGCAUGUGGAACUUCCGGUGGAGCGGUGAAAUGCGUAGAUAUCGGAAGGAACGCCGGUGGCGAAAGCGACGUGCUGGACCUCUUCUGACGCUGAGGCGCGAAAGCUAGGGGAGCAAACGGG